rnacentral:rRNA from 1 species
UGGGGUAGCUGUAGGGGGACGCAGGAAGGUAAGUGAUCCCGGGCGAUGGUUGUCCCGGGGUAAGCGUGUAGGGCGAGGUGUAGGCAAAUCCGCACCUCAUAUAGCCUGAGACGUGAUACCGAGUCGAUUUAGACGAAGUCACCGAUCCUAUGCUGCCAAGAAAAGCCCAGCAGUGAGUUGACACGGCGCCCGUACCCCAAACCAACACAGGUGGACAGGUAGAGAAUACUAAGGCGAGUGGGAUAACUAUGGUUAAGGAAUUCGGCAAAAUACCUCUGUAACUUCGGGAAAAAGAGGACCCUAUGAUGGUGACGAGACUUGCUCUCCGAGCUUGAAGGGGUGGCACAAACCAGGGGGAAGCGACUGCUUACCAAAAACACAGCAGCGUGCUAAGCCGUAAGGCGCUGUAUACGCUGUGACGCCUGCCCGGUGCUGGAAGGUUACGGGGAAAGGUUAGACCUCGGUCGAAGCUUUGAACCUAAGCCCCAGUAAACGGCGGCCGUAACUAUGACGGUCCUAAGGUAGCGAAAUUCCUUGUCGGGUAAGUUCCGACCUGCACGAAUGGCGUAACGACUUCCCUACUGUCUCAACCAUAGACCCAGCGAAAUUGAAGUACGAGUAAAGAUGCUCGUUAGCUGCAGAAGGACGGAGAGACCCCGUGGACCUUUACUAUAACUUGAUAUUGUGUUUUGUCUCAUGUUGUGUAGGAUAGGUGGGAGGCUAGGAAGCAUGCACGCCAGUGUGUGUGGAGCCAUCGUUGAAAUACCACCCUGCAUGUGGUGAGGCUCUAACCCAGACCCGUUAUCCGGGCCGGGGACAGUGUCAGGCGGGUAGUUUGACUGGGGCGGUCGCCUCCUAAAGAGUAACGGAGGCGCCCAAAGGUUCCCUCAGCCUGGUUGGCAAUCAGGCGUCGAGUGCAAUGGCAAAAGGGAGCUUGACUGCGAGACCUACACGUCGAGCAGGAGCGAAAGCUGGGCAUAGUGAUCCGGCGGUUGCGUGUGGAAGCGCCGUCGCUCAACGGAUAAAAGGUACCCCGGGGAUAACAGGCUAAUCUUGCCCAAGAGUCCAUAUCGACGGCAAGGUUUGGCACCUCGAUGUCGGCUCAUCGCAUCCUGGGGCUGAAGCAGGUCCCAAGGGUUGGGCUGUUCGCCCAUUAAAGCGGUACGCGAGCUGGGUUCAGAACGUCGUGAGACAGUUCGGUCCCUAUCCUCUGCAGCCGUAAGUGAAUUGCAGAAAGCUGUCCCUAGUACGAGAGGACCGGGACGGACGCAGCUCUCGUGUGCCAGUUGUCGUGCCAACGGCAUGGCUGGUUAGCGACCUGCGGACGGGAUAACCGCUGAAAGCAUCUAAGCGGGAAGCCUCUUCUAAGAUUAAUUCACUCACAGGGUUAACCUGGUAAGUCCCGUGGCAGAACACCACGUUGAUAGGCCGGAAGUGUAAGUGUGGCAACACAUUCAGCUGACCGGUACUAAUCGGACGAGGGCUUGGAACC